ensembl:lncRNA
AACGAUGAAACUCCGCGUGCGCGUGCUCGGGAAAUGCAGCGUAAAGUCAUUUCUGCAGGUAAACUCUUGAGUCUGACUCUGCGCAUCUUCGCCAAAGUUUAUCUUCAAUUAAUCCAUCGGGUCACAGGGAAACCUGGAGCCUAUCCCAGGGAGCAUCGGGCACAAGGCGGGGUACACCCUGGACAGGGUGCCAGUCCAUCACAGGCACAAUCACAGGCACAAUCACAUACACAUUCACAACACUUGUCUUUGGACUGGCGGAGGAAACCGGAGUACCCAGAGGAAACCCCCGCAGCACGGGGAUAACAUGCAAACUCCACACACAGGGCCAUGGUGGGAAUCGAACCCCCAACCCUGGAGGUGUGAGGUGAUCAUCAGGAUUUCAUGUGGGAAUUGGAGAGUUCUUCCAAGGUCAACUCUGCAUGACCCCAGAAAACGUUUCUUAAAAUGACCCCCUAUAGGCGUGUUGAUAGAAGGCAGAGCCUACAGACUGCUAAGGACUCCUCUUUUAACCCCAGUCAUAUGGUAGGUUUUGCUUUAGGCACCUAAAAUGUUUAAACUUUUCUAUGCAUGUUUCUCAGUGCUUCUCAGAAUGUAAAGAGUCAUAUGCUUAACAGAUGGUUGGAGUUAUAAUUUAUAAUAUAAGAAUUGUAAUUUAAAG